rnacentral:rRNA from 1 species
UACGAGGGGGGCGAGCGUUGUUCGGAAUUAUUGGGCGUAAAGGGUGCGUAGGCGGUUUUGCAAGCCGGAUGUGAAAUCCCCGGGCUCAACCUGGGAAUGGCAUUCGGGACUGCAAGGCUGGAGUGCGGCAGAGGAGACUGGAAUUCCUGGUGUAGCAGUGAAAUGCGUAGAUAUCAGGAGGAAUACCGAUGGCGAAGGCAGGUCUCUGGGCUGACACUGACGCUCAUGCACGAAAGCGUGGGGAGCAAACAGG